GAUGAAGAACGUAGCGAAAUGCGAUAAGUAAUGUGAAUUGCAGAAUUCAGUGAAUCAUCGAAUCUUUGAACGCACAUUGCGCCCGCUAGUAUUCUGGCGGGCAUGCCUGUCCGAGCGUCAUUUCAACCCUCAAGCCCCCGGGCUUGGUGUUGGGGAUCGGCGAGCCUCCGCGCCCGCCGUCCCCUAAAUCUAGUGGCGGUCUCGCUGUAGCUUCCUCUGCGUAGUAGCACACCUCGCACUGUGAAACAGCGCGGCCACGCCGUUAAACCCCCAACUUCUGAACGUUUGACCUCGGAUCAGGUAGGAAUACCCGCUGAACUUAAGCAUAUCAAUAAGCGGAGGA
rnacentral:misc_RNA from 1 species